GAUGAACGCUGGCGGCGUGCCUAAUACAUGCAAGUCGAGCGAACAGACGAGGAGCUUGCUCCUCUGACGUUAGCGGCGGACGGGCGAGUAACACGUGGAUAACCUACCUAUAAGACUGGGAUAACUUCGGGAAACCGGAGCUAAUACCGGAUAACAUGUUGAACCGCAUGGUUCAACAGUGAAAGACGGUUUUGCUGUCACUUAUAGAUGGAUCCGCGUCGCAUUAGCUAGUUGGUAAGGUAACGGCUUACCAAGGCAACGAUGCGUAGCCGACCUGAGAGGGUGAUCGGCCACACUGGAACUGAGACACGGUCCAGACUCCUACGGGAGGCAGCAGUAGGGAAUCUUCCGCAAUGGGCGAAAGCCUGACGGAGCAACGCCGCGUGAGUGAAGAAGGUCUUCGGAUCGUAAAACUCUGUUAUUAGGGAAGAACAAAUGUGUAAGUAACUAUGCACGUCUUGACGGUACCUAAUCAGAAAGCCACGGCUAACUACGUG
rnacentral:rRNA from 1 species